GGAACCAAAACCAAAACCCCAACCCCUACCCCCAACCGAAAUCCCCACCCCAAUCUAAGUUUGGAUCCAGAAGAACCCAGAACAUGGGUGAGAGAAGAGAGAGGUGAAGAGAUCGAUCAACCACUUGAUAGAUCCAGAAAAACCAAAACAUCAGUCUUCAUUCUCUUGAUAGAUCCACUCAUCAGGCUUCACCCAUAGUUUCUUCUGCUUCCAACAUGGAGGAGGCUCCGUCACUCACUCCUCUUUCUCUCUCAUUUCUUCUACCUUAUUCUUCAGCUGGUUCAAACUCUUUUCGAUUUGGGGAAGUGGUGGUUCCCGAUCUAGGUUUCUGCUGACGGGAUUUGGUUGGGGAGCGUGGGAGGAAUGAGGGGGUUGGGGUUGAUGUUGCUGGGGUUUGGGGUUGGUGUUCUGGGUUUGUGUUGUUGUGUG
rnacentral:lncRNA from 1 species